AACGAACGCUGGCGGCAUGCCUAACACAUGCCAGUCGAACGAGACCUUCGGGUCUAGUGGCGCACGGGUGCGUAACGCGUGGGAACCUGCCCUUAGGUUCGGAAUAACUCCCCGAAAGGGGUGCUAAUACCGGAUAAUGUCUUCGGACCAAAGAUUUAUCGCCUUUGGAUGGGCCCGCGUUGGAUUAGCUAGUUGGUAGGGUAAAAGCCUACCAAGGCGACGAUCCAUAGCUGGUCUGAGAGGAUGAUCAGCCACACUGGGACUGAGACACGGCCCAGACACUUGCGGAGGGGAGCAGUGGGGAAUAUGGGACAACGGGUGAAAGCAUAAUCCAUCAGGGCCGGGUAGGUGUUGAGGUGCGAAGGGUUGGAAGCCUGUUUAUCCCGGGAUGUUAUGACCGGACCCGGAGAAAAAGCCCCGGCUAACUUCGGG
rnacentral:rRNA from 1 species